rnacentral:rRNA from 1 species
UACGUAGGAGACGAGCGUUGUCCGGAGUUACUGGCGUAAAGGUGCGCAGGCGGCCUGGCGCGUCGCGAGUGAAAUCUCCUGGCUCAACUGGGAGGGUGGUCGCGAGACGGCUGGGCUUGAGGCUCGGUGAGGGGCGUGGAAUUCCGGGUGGAGCGGUGAAAUGCGUAGAGAUCCGGAGGAACACCGACGGCGUAGGCAGCGCCCUAGACGAGACCUGACGCUCAGGCACGAAAGCGCGGGGAGCGAACAGG